UUACUACUAAAAUCCACUAAAACAUCCCAUUCCCUUCUUCAGUAGUAGACACCUUCUCAUGUCAUGGAACAGAGCCACGAUACUUGUUUUCGGUACUGCAUGUUGGAAUGAAUUUUGAUCCUGAUUUACAGAGUUACUUCCUUGCUGAAAAAGCUGACUGAUGCCUGGUAGAAUUAUAUGCAAGCACUAAGGUAUGUAUCUGAUUCACCCUUACAGUUGCUUAGU
rnacentral:lncRNA from 1 species